GCAGGCGGCUACCCACCUCACAGCCAGUCAUACACACAAACACACCGUUGUGUACAGUACAGAAUGCGGGAUAAGAUGAUAACCAUAUUUCUGGCUUGCGCAUUUACUCUCCUGUACUCUUAGUCAUUUAGAGUCUACUCCUACCCACACACCGGAGUUCACUGUAUGCAGUGCGCUGCGUGAUCCAGCAGCAGCCCCUGCACUGUGUUCACAGCACCACUCAGCUCUGCCCUGAAGCCGCGGGUCUGGGUUGGAUAGGUGCCCCCGGGGAGCUCUGACAGUGAGAGUCACCAGGAGACGCAUUUCUCAGAACAUUCCCCUGUUGGGCGACACGUGACCGAAUCAACUUGAGAAAUGUCAUGGUGUUCCACCUGUACUCAUAUUGUAUUCUGAAAUAGGAAGAAAAUUCAGUUCUUUAUUUCACAUUUACACACCUGCUGCUGAAGUAGACCCGACCUCAGGCCCCCUCCCCUAAGGAGUCCUCUGUGAAGACAGCGGAGAGGAGAUGUUUACUCCAUGAUGACAACGUUGGUCCACUAGAAUCAGUCAGAAAUACUUUAAUACAUGCUCUCUUUAAGAUCAUCCCCUUCGGAUCUUCCUGUCCUCUUGCUUUUUUCCAGUUCUGGGGUUCCUAGCAGCUGGAGCCCUCCUCACACAGGAUGGCGGAGUAGGGAAAGAAGAGACGCGGGUGGCAGCGCCAAAACCCUUGGAAGAGCCGAAGACUAAACGUCCCCCGAGACACAGAUCCGGCCUCUGCCUUUCCCUGAGGAGACAGCUCCGAACUCCUGAGUAUUUUAGAAAGCAAUGCUACCACCCCUGCUGUCCGUGAGAUCAAGCCCAUGCAGGAAAGGGAGCCGAGUAUUUCGGAGGACUGCGAAACACUUUGUGGUACCACAGAGUUCUAUGCUGCAGGAGCUGGCAAGUGAGGCCAGUGCCUGAGAAAUAAAGUUUUAUUGGAACACACU
rnacentral:lncRNA from 1 species